AAACGCUAGCGGCGUGCUUCCACAUGCAGUCGAACGGAAAAGAGUACAUCUUUUCAGUGGCGGACGGGUGAGUAUGAGAAUUUGCCCUUAUGGCAGAGGAUAACAAUUAGAAAUAAUUGCUAAAACUCUAUAUGUUGGAAACAAUGAAAAAAGAAAUUUGCCUAAGGAGAAGCUCACAUUUGAUUAGCUAGUUGGUAGGGUAAGAGCCUACCAAGGCGACGAUCAAUAGUUGGUCUGAGAGGACGAUCAGCCACACUGGAACUGAGACACGGUCCAGACUCCUACGGGAGGCAGCAGUGAGGAAUAUUCCGCAAUGGGCGAAAGCCUGACGGAGCAACGCCGCGUGAGGGAUGAAGGCCUACGGGUUGUAAACCUCUUUAUCCAAGGGAGGAAGAUCUGACCGUUACUUGGAGAAUAAGCAUCGGCUAAACCUGUGACAGCAGACGCGGUAAUACAGGGGAUGCAAGUGUUAUCCGGAUUCAUUGGGCGUAAAGCGUCUACAGGUUGAUAUAUAAGUCUUAUGUAAAAUCUGGAGCUUAACUUCAAAAUG
rnacentral:rRNA from 1 species